ACCUACACUAGGAAUUGACACGGUUCAACCUCACCGUAAUGUCAAUGAACAAACUCGACUUUAUGGUUUGAUUGAGCCGCGCCAAUAUCUUGUGCUUUUUA
rnacentral:pre_miRNA from 1 species